rnacentral:lncRNA from 1 species
CCUGGGUCUACAGAGUUAGAAUAUCCAAGCAUGGAUGAGAAUUUGCAUUAACAAACUAACCAAGUCAUUCUGUUCUUAUCUUUCACAGAGGUCACUGUAGAACAACUGUUGUUUUCAUUUAGCCCCUCUGCCUAAAAUGUUAGGAAAGCAAAACACUGGUGAACAGUGUUUGAGAAAAAUGUAGACUAAAUUUAAAUACCUGUAAGCAGAGUAUACCAACCUCUCAUCUCAAUUCCCACACCAACUUAGCAACUGCAGAGGUUACUUACAUGCCUGGCUGCAGAGGCACUGGAAUUUGCUACUGUUGACCUCAGUUAUUAGGGGAAAAUUAUCAUUACCUGUUGUAGAAAGAUGCUAAGCAUAUAAGGCAGACAAGUCCCUUUUUGUUAUCAGUAGAGGACUUUCAUUGUUGCUUUUUUUCUUCAGUAGAGUUUUUGAAAUCUGCAGGGGCUUUUCUGUUUUUCUUUUGUUUUGCUCUUUUUUGCUUUUUUUUAAAGAAAGUUUUUAAAUGUUCAUUUAGUAAUGGAGUCAAAGUGGAACCAGGAAGGCAAUUCUUAAAAAAAAAAAAAUUGUCCAAAACUAAAAUUCCUGACCUUAAUGGAAAAUAAAAAAUUUUACCAUUAAAUCAUGAGACAAAUGCAGUUAGGAUAUAUCAGCUAUCAAAGUGCAGAAAUCAAGUCUCCAUGAGAAAUAAACCUUUGCUGCUGGGAGGGUCAGAAAUGGUAGAUCAAUGUAUGAGUAAGAACAUAUGCCUUUCCUUUUUUCCUAUAACCACGGCACAGUUAAUCUAAUAGUUUUUCAGUAUUCUUUGAACCCUCAGUUAAUGACUAUAGCUAAAGACAGCACAUUAGGUCAUCCAAUUAUCUGAUUUAUUUUUAUAUGUUCAUGUUUAUAUUUUCAGAUUCUUUCACUAUGAUGGCAGAAAAUCAAGACUUGGAGGAGACUGUUAUAUAAAGUUUCUCUAACAUUCAUUACAUUUAUCUAAGGACUCUAUCAGAUACUUUCAGUGUGGUCUCUCCUAAGUUCAUUGAAAUUCAAAAUAAUUAAUUGAAGUAAAGCCCUGCAUUUGUGCAUGCGUUCUGAGCAAUUAAGUGGAGUGAAACACAUGUAUUGCUAAUCUUGCAUGCUGUGAUUAAGAUAGAAAUGAAGACGUCCAUCAAACGAGAUUACUUCUUCAUCAACAAGGCUCAGAAAUGUUUCUACAGCUGUUUAGAUCGUUUUAAUUGUAUCAGAGCCUCUCACAUCAUGGUUUAAGUGAGGCACUAUUUCCCCCCAUUAAAAAAGAGAAUAUGAAGAUAUGAGAGUAUACUAAUCCGCAUGUGAAAGAAAUCACAAUGCAUUUAAAGGUUUCUUUACCAAUAAAAUUAGAUUAGCUAAAGAAACAAAAGGCAUUUGUGUGUUUAUGAUCUAUUUUCAUACUUAACUGCACAAACACGGAGCUGAGAGGACCAGCUGGGUCCCACUUUUCAUUAUCAAAUAUUCCUGGAUUAUUCCCUCUGGCCACUCUAACUCCUUUAUUUGAAAAAAGAACAGGGAAUGGUACUACCUUCCCUAUGUAAAAGUAAAUCUAAUUGAUGACUCACACACAAAAAAACCAUGAUACUUGUUACCAUUUCCUCAAUUUCCAUUCCUCCUUCCAAUAGAAACAUAGUUUUUUUAAAGCAACUAAUUAUUCCAAAAAGAAAAGAACUCACUUAUUCUACCAAUUUUUUGGUUAGUUACUCAGAAUUAUUCCUAGUAAUAUAGACUUGGAUUUUGAGUCCCUCAAUGGGACUGAAGAAUAAGACCAAAUGUUGUCUCAGAAUAAUGAAUGAUUUGACUCAAAGUGAUUUCUUAAAAGCCAAAGUUACCAUUUCAGAAAAUUCUUUCUCUUGUGGUUCAGCGAGCUAUGAAGGAGGUGAACUGAACAGAAUGAGAAUAAAUCAAGAUUGGACUUUUCAUAGGUAUAGAGCCCUUUCUUUGGCUAUCUCAAAAUACUACAAGUAGUACCACUGUCAUAUCUCUCAUGUAAUUAAUAUACUGAGUUUCAUCUUAAAAACCAAGUGCAAAACCAUGAACUUGAGUGAUUUGAGACAGAAAUAUAUGUAUUUGUAUUCAUAAAAGCUUGAACCAGCAAAAAUACCUUUCUAUCUAAUUAUAUUACUUUAGCAAUUAGUUGUGAAAAGAAGUAGUUUUAAUUAACAUUUAUUUUUUUCACUGUUGUAUAUUUUAGGAUUUCAAUUCAUUUUGAUAGAUCUUCAAGUUGAACAUAAAAGAAACUCUCAGACUUUAGGAACCUAUAGGUCAGAGUGGUUCAACUGAAAAAGCAAAGAGAAACAUGCAGACCCGUGGUGACAAAUGGCUGAACCCUACACUUUACUGAAAUUGGACAAGCAAAUGUUUAUAUCACUAAAAAAAAAAAAAAGAAAAGGAAAAAUAAAAAAGAAAAAACCUGGACAAAGUAUUAAGUAGUGAUAGUGAAAAUGACAUGCUCUUAUAAACAGAAUUCAAAUAUUAAAAAUAAUAUUUUUAUGCUUUACAACUUCAAUUACAAUCACUAAACCAAAUGGCAGUGUUAAUAACAAAUACACUGAAAAAAUAUAUGUUAAGUUAGGAAAAACAAAACAACAGGAAAUUGGAAUGUCCUAUAAUAACU